rnacentral:misc_RNA from 1 species
UCGCGGCUUAUCACCGGCAGUCACCUUAGAGUGCCCAACUGAAUGCUGGCAACUAAGAUCAAGGGUUGCGCUCGUUGCGGGACUUAACCCAACAUCUCACGACACGAGCUGACGACAACCAUGCACCACCUGUCACCGCUGUCCCCGAAGGGAAAGGUAUAUCUCUAUACCGGUCAGCGGGAUGUCAAGACCUGGUAAGGUUCUGCGCGUCGCGUCGAAUUAAACCACAUGCUCCACCGCUUGUGCGGGCCCCCGUCAAUUCCUUUGAGUUUCAACCUUGCGGCCGUACUCCCCAGGCGGGAUGCUUAAUGCGUUAGCUGCGCCACUGAUAAGCAUGCUUACCAACGGCUAGCAUCCAUCGUUUACGGCGUGGACUAC